rnacentral:rRNA from 1 species
GACGAACGCUGGCGGCGUGCUUAACACAUGCAAGUCGAACGGAAAGGCCCUGCUUGCAGGGUGCUCGAGUGGCGAACGGGUGAGUAACACGUGGGUGAUCUGCCCCUUACUUUGGGAUAAGCCUGGGAAACUGGGUCUAAUACUGGAUAGGACCAUGCUGUAGGUGGUGUGGUGGAAAGAUUAGUUUCGGUAAGGGAUGAGCUCGCGGCCUAUCCGCGUGUUGGUGGGGUAAUGGCCUACCAAGGCGUCGACGGGUAGCCGGCCUGAGAGGGUGGACGGCGACAUUGGGACUGUGAUACGGGCCAGACUCCUACGCGGGGCAGAAGUGGGGAAUAUUGCGCAAUGGGCGCACGCGUGAUGCGGAGACGCCGCGUGGGGGAUGACGGCCUUCGGGUUGUAAACUCCUUUCAGCCAUGACGAAGCCCUUGUGGUGACGGUAGUGGUAGAAGAAGCACCGGCUAACUACGUG